UACGAAGGGGGCUAGCGUUGCUCGGAAUCACUGGGCGUAAAGGGUGCGUAGGCGGGGCUUUAAGUCAGGGGUGAAAUCCUGGAGCUCAACUCCAGAACUGCCUUUGAUAUUGAGGAUCUUGAGUUCGGGAGAGGUGAGUGGAACUGCGAGUGUAGAGGUGAAAUUCGUAGAUAUUCGCAAGAACACCAGUGGCGAAGGCGGCUCACUGGCCCGAUACUGACGCUGAGGCACGAAAGCGUGGGGAGCAAACAGG
rnacentral:rRNA from 1 species